AAAAUGCAUUUCAUUCUAUAUAUUCUGUUUGUAGCUUCUGAAUCGCAAGGCCGAUGUUGUUCUUAAGAGGUUUGAAAUUGAAGAUACCAAGGUUGUCUUGUACUUUGAUGAGAUAAAAGAUGUUUGUGUGACAUUUGGAAUCGACCAAACUUCAGUUGUGACGAGCAUGARGCCUGCAACUGUGACUGUAUACGACUAUUACGACCCAGAUAAGUCAGCUUCUUCACAGUACACCAUAACAAGCGAUCUUUGUACAACACAGCCAGACGCUUAGCCUCAUUGGCCCCAAGCCCUCGGCAGAUAUAGAUGGCCAUUAUAUUAGAGUUAGAUCUAUCGCUACUUACUCUGAUUGAAUCAGAGGCUUAUUUUAUCAGACCCAAAUAGACGGAACAACUUUUGCUUACAACC